ensembl:lncRNA
AUGUACAGUGAAAUGACAAACAUAAAUGUAGCAUACGUGGCUUUGACAGACAGUCCUCUGAAUGGAAUGCCAGAAAGAAACUGUUACUACCAUGUUUGUCCAACAGAGAUGAAGGGUGUCCAACCUCAGCACGAGGACUCUCAGGAGUUUCCCCUGGAUUUUCAGGACACAUUUGGCUUCCUUGACCUGAUAGACAGCAGCAACUUCAACCAGAUCAAUGAGUUUUCUGUGGAACCUCCAUGUUAUGACAUGGAAGAAGAGGAAGAAUCAGCAGAGCAAGAGGCAGAAGAAAAAAAGAUGAGCUUCUCCCAUCAACAGUGGGAACAGUCCUCUCCAGGGGUGGAGGAUGUGGCGCUCAUGGCCGACACAAAUGCACAGUCGUCACAGAUACUCUCCCCAAAGACCUUUGACCUGCACAACAAGGCUUGCAAAUCACACAGUUUGCCAUACAAGUCAGCCUUGCACAACCCUCAUACCGACUUCUCUGAUGACGAUGUUGAUGAGGAAGAUGACCAGGAUGAGGAUGACAGUGACGAUGAGGAAGAUGCACUGUACUAUAGCUUACCUGCUGGAAUACAAUUAAGCGUAAUGAAAGAGAGCGAGGCGGACACACGUUCAGAUGGUGAGUUUGCCACAGAUCCAAAUGAGUGCAUUUCAUAUGACUCAGGUCACCAACCAGGGGCAGCACAACAGGGGGGUGGAACCAAUCUCGACAUUAGCACUGAGUACUUGGCAGAGGAAGAGUUGAAGGACAGCAUGUCAGAAUUUCAAGACUACAACCAACUUGUCCACACAGAGGCACCUGGGACAACACAGGUUGAUAAUGAGGGCAAAGAGGAGAGUGCUCUGUUCCAGGCAUUGAAAUCGGAACAGAAUGAAGCCGAGGAAUGCACAAACAAGGGCAGCGGAGAGAGCUGGUACACAGCAGAUCCAGAACAUGCUUCCAAAAACAGCAACGGACAUGAUCAAUGGGUGCGUAUGAACAACGAGGAAGAGAAGGAUUGCGCUGAUGCUCCCUCUUGCAGUUCCACCAACAGGGAAGACCACACAGCUGCCCCAAGGCACGGAGAAGGAAAUGAUCCACAGACAAAUUUGGUACAAACUGACCCAGAGUCAGAGGUUAAAAGUGAAAGAGACUUUUCAGAAGGUCAUCAUGGUGAGCAAAUAUGUGCAGACACCUGUAGUGCUGACUCAGUAUGUGGGACUAAUCUGGGAGGAGAAGCUGUCAGCUCAGGUGUUACUCUACCUGAUUCUCCAUGGGAACCAGACGAAUCUCAUUUAGUUAAUUACAGUCCUCCAGUAUGUUUACUGAAUCCUUGUGAGAUAAACCCAGACAAUGAUGGGUUGGCCAAUGACAGUGAAGAUGUUGAAGCUGUGGUUUCUAUGAUGGAGGGGUCAGUAUUCUCCUCGAGAAACUCUGAGGAACUCUCUGAAAUAUGCACUGAGAGGGGAGAACAAGGAGAAAACACAGCAAACAGGGACACGGCAGGAGAACAAAUGUCUGACCAGCAAACUGAGGAUAGUGUGCAGCAGGAAGAGGACAACGAAGAACACAGGCCCGUAGAUCCCUCUGUGUGCAAAGACAUGGAUGUAUCAGGAACAAGAGAAGCAGAUGGAAUACCAGAAGAAUCUAAGACAGAAGAACCUAGUUCAGAAGAGUCUCCGAUCGAGGGAAGUAUGAGUGACAUGAAUAAAGAAGAGGUUGAGAAGGAAUUGAAGGGAGAGCAUGAGCUGGACAAAGGCCCAAUAAGAAGCAAGCAUGCAGAGAGGAUUGACACACACAUUCUACAACAGGAUGAGAGUAGUGAGGAGGGUGCGUCUGACAAGGUGGAGUUGAAUGAGGAUGGGGACGAAAAUGAAGGAAAUGAGCUGGGGAUGGGGACAGGGUUAGGAAGAACGACACCAAGCCAGCCCAAAGUGCAGCACGUAAAGCCUGUGCCUGUAGUGCCACCCAAAACGGAGCUCUCUAAACUGGCAGCCCUGAACCUCCGUCAGCAACUGCAACAGAGAGGGACGGAAAGGGGAAAAGAGGGAGAAUGGCACAAGGACCGGGACAAAGAGGGACAGGAUGAUGGAGACAGGGAGAGAGUGGAGGGGGAGAAGGAGGGUGACAAAGAGAAAAAUAGGAACAGUGCCAUCAGCAUGUGUUUUGAUGAGGCUGUUGCCAGGGCAACUGAGAGAAGAGAGAGAGAGAAGGAAGAGAGAGAGCAGGAGAGAGAGAAAGAAAGAGGCACAGAUGAACAAGUAAAGCAAAGAGGAAAUGACAGUAGAGAGAAGAACAGAGAAUAGAAAGCAUCAGGGGAAGAAAAAAAGACAAAAGAUUUGAAGAGAUGUGUUUCAGGUGCAUUGGUGUCUCUAAAUUACCCCUAGUGUCCCCUAGAGUGAAUGAGUUCAUGUGAUUGCUCUGAGAAGGGCUGGUGUCCCAUCCAGGGUGUACUCUGCCUCACACCUUGUGUUUACUGGAAUAGGGUCUGCACCAUCGCGGCCGUACGCUGGACAACUGAUCAACGAGAGAGAGAAUAUACCCAUAUCGUAUGCUGCAAAGCUUAAAUUAAAAAAAAGUGUAGCGGGAUGGAAUACACACAAGAAUGUACUUUAUCAAACUGCAACGCUUGUUAUUCUUGCCAAUUUCAAGUCAUAAAAGAUAAAGCACAAAAAAAUGCAUUGAAAGUUUUACACUUUCCACCCUUACAAUUUCUCUCAUUUGUGAGAAAUACUGCUCUGUCGAUAAUGUCAAAAAGACAUAACUGUUUGCAAAAAGUGUGUUUUUGCUUUUUGAAAACUGUAUUAUGAUAAUACAGUGCAGUUAUGUCACUCCAUUAAUAUAGGGAUUUCAAAGUGCUUUACAGAGGCAAUAAACGAAAUAGUGCGCAGUGAAGCGCA